AACCACAACAUUUGGAGAUUACCAACAUGGUUUUCAGCCCUCAGCUUUGGUGAGACUUCUUCCUUUUCAUUCUUUUCUGGGCAAAUCUAAACCUUUGGAGAAGUAGAUGAGUGAAGUCAAUUGCAAAGAGACUGGAUCUCUCUAUAUCACCCAGACUGGAGUGCAGUGGCACAAUCGUGGCUCACUGCAGUCUUGAACUCCUGGCCUCAAGAGAUCUUCCUGCCUUAGCCUCCUGAAUGGUUGCAACUACAGGGACAGGGGAAUAAAAAUGUGAUGCAUUGGAGGAGAAUCACAGGACUCAACAAAUAAACCUUGAGAUGUCAUUGUCACCUGUGUGUACUUUAUGAGAAUACAUGUAGAGAUUAACCUUUCCUGGAAAAUGAACGUCUAAUGCUUCUUUUGGGGACAGCAUGCUUUAUAGUUAGGACAUUCUUCUUUAUAUCCAGCCUGACUUCUUCAUGCUGUACUAGCCUUCUAAUCCUUAACUAAAAAUUUUUUAAAAAUGAAUAAACACUG
rnacentral:lncRNA from 1 species